UUGCAGCUGCAGUCCAACUAUUUGCAUUUCAAAACUUUUGAUUUUUUUAUUGUUUUAAAAUUUAUUAUUUUUAUAUUUUUGAUUCGUUUUGAUAUGAUAAUAUAAAAAAUAUAUUAUUUUAAUAUAUUUUAAAAUAAAAAACACUUCAAAAAAAUAUCUUCCUUUCACAUUUCCAAAACACUCAGGUCAUCAAACUCUAUAUGGCAAAAAAUCCGAUGCACAGUCUCCAUUCAAGCAUGACCUCCCCCGUCCGCUAUUCGUGCUUGGGCUUGGAAGAUUUCGGACACCCAUAUUUAUCAAAUCUGACGAAUUUCACCAGAGUCAGGGCCCCAAUCACAUACCGUAUACGUGCUUGCGACAUCUCCAGGAGUAUCCAUCUCAUGAUCAAGUUUUAGCUCAGUUCUUGCCUACGUUGUUAGCACAUUCAAGAUGAGAAGCUCAGUUCUUUUUGUGGUCUCAUUCAUUCAUGACUGGUCUGCUCUUGCUUUCUUCUCAUGAAGGUAAUGUUGCACGAGGGGACGACUUCUUUCAAGGUUUUCUUCUUUUUUAAGCGUUUUACCUUUUCCUUUACCUAAUAUAAUCAACGGAUUAAUUGAAUUACCAUGUUUCCUGGGCAUUUUCCUUAACAAAAGCCAAUGGGAUAUCACAAUAUUUAGUGCAGAUCACAAACACAUAUCCACAAGUACCCAUUGCUGAUAUCCAUCUCAACUGUAAAGACUUCAGCUCUGCCAUCCUUGUUAGCCCUGAGACAUUCAGGCGCAUUGCCGUGGAUGACUGCCUGGUCAACGACGGAAGAGCACUAGCUCCCGGUGCAGCAUACGCCAACACCAAGCAAUACCCCCUUCCACAUGUUAAGUCAUCCGUAGAAUUUUUUUUAGUUUUAUGCGGUUUCAGCACUGUUGCUAGUCAAGCACUCCUCCUCUCUUCUUUUCAGUCUAUUCGAUCCAUUUAAGCAAAGCACAGAUUUCUUAUUUAAUUCCCUCUCUCUUUGAUUUCAUAAUGAGUUCAUAACCCGUGAAGAAGACAUACAUGAUAAAAAUACAAGUCUGAUUGCCCA